rnacentral:tRNA from 1 species
GCUGGAAUAGCACAGUUGGUUAGAGCGUGUGGCUAUUAACCAUAAGGUCAGAGGUUCUCAAGCCCUCCUUUCAGCG